CCCUUAGAUGUCCUGGGCCGCACGCGCGCUACACUGAGUGUCUGAGAUACGAGUCUGCCUGGUCCGGCAAGGUCUAGGUAAUCGCUAAAAGACACAUCAUGCUUGGGAUAGAUUAUUGCAAAUAUUAAUCUUGAACGAGGAAUUCCUAGUAAGCGCAAGUCAACAGCUUGCGUUGAUUACGUCCCUGCCCUUUGUACACACCGCCCGUCGCUACUACUGAUUGGAUGUUUAAGCGAGGUUCUCGAACUGCUAGCGACUUAGCUUCGGUGAGGUCGCAGUGUGGGAAGUGAACCUAGGUUUGGUGUCUAGAGGAAGUAAAAGUCGUAACA
rnacentral:rRNA from 1 species